GAAAUAGUCUGUGUACCAGUUUACAACUUCAGACAGCUUUAUUAACCCAUCUGUUCACUCAUACGAAUGAAAUAAUUCCUCUACAAACUACAAAUAACUAUCACCCCAAAUGACAGUGCUGUAAAUGAGAUGUUCAACUUGGAGUAUUUGCUUGCCCCUAGGGAAACAUUACUGCCAGGAAAGAAGCACUGAGCACCUGACUUGGAGGAAGAUGAUGCAGAAAGGAUGCCAGUAUUUGAACAUUAUCUCAGAGAAGCAAGUGAUGAAAGAUGAGCUGAGAACCCAACGGAAGACUUCUUAACCUUGAACCCACAGAAAGGAGUCCAGGGAGAGAAUUCAAAGGAUCCAUAAACUUGAAUUGAAAAGAAAAAUUCCAUCAUUUAUUUUCACUAACAU